GAUGAACGCUGGCGGCGUGCCUAAUACAUGCAAGUCGAGCGAACAGACGAGGAGCUUGCUCCUCUGACGUUAGCGGCGGACGGGUGAGUAACACGUGGAUAACCUACCUAUAAGACUGGGAUAACUUCGGGAAACCGGAGCUAAUACCGGAUAAUAUAUUGAACCGCAUGGUUCAAUAGUGAAAGACGGUUUUGCUGUCACUUAUAGAUGGAUCCGCGCCGCAUUAGCUAGUUGGUAAGGUAACGGCUUACCAAGGCAACGCUGCGAAGCCGACCUGAGAGGGUGAUCGGCCACACUGGAACUGAGACACGGUCCAGACUCCUACGGGAGGCAGCAGUAGGGAAUCUUACGCAAUGGGCGAAAGCCUAACGUAACAACGCCGCGUGAGUGGUGAAGGUCUUCGGAUCGUAAAACUCUGUUAUUAGGGAAGACCAAAUGUGUAAGUAACUAUGCACGUCUUGACGGUACCUAAUCAGAAAGCCACGGCUAACUACGUG
rnacentral:rRNA from 1 species